GAAAGCGGGGGACCGCAAGGCCUCGCGCUAUUGGAGCGGCCGAUGUCGGAUUAGCUUGUUGGUGAGGUAAAAGCUCACCAAGGCGACGAUCCGUAGCUGGUCUGAGAGGACGACCAGCCACACUGGGACUGAGACACGGCCCAGACUCCUACGGGAGGCAGCAGUGGGGAAUUUUGGACAAUGGGCGAAAGCCUGAUCCAGCCAUGCCGCGUGUGUGAAGAAGGCCUUCGGGUUGUAAAGCACUUUUGUCCGGAACGAAACGGCAAGGGCGAAUAUCCCUUGUUAAUGACGGUACCGGGAGAAUAAGCACCGGCUAACUACGUGCCAGCAGCCGCGGUAAUACGUAGGGUGCAAGCGUUAAUCGGAAUUACUGGGCGUAAAGCGUGCGCAGGCGGUUCGUUGUGUCGGUGGUGAGAGCCCCGGGCUU
rnacentral:rRNA from 1 species